AUUGAACGCUGGCGGCAUGCCUUACACAUGCAAGUCGAACGGCAGCACGGGAGCAAUCCUGGUGGCGAGUGGCGAACGGGUGAGUAAAGUAUCGGAACGUGCCCAGUCGUGGGGGAUAACGUAGCGAAAGUUACGCUAAUACCGCAUACGAUCCAUGGAUGAAAGCGGGGGAUCGCAAGACCUCGCGCGAUUGGAGCGGCCGAUAUCAGAUUAGGUAGUUGGUGGGGUAAAGGCCCACCAAGCCGACGAUCUGUAGCUGGUCUGAGAGGACGACAAGCCACACUGGGACUGAGAAACGGCCCAGACUCCUACGGGAGGCAGCAGUGGGGAAUUUUGGACAAUGGGCAAAAGCCUGAUCCAGCCAUGCCGCGUGCAGGAUGAAGGCCUUCGGGUUGUAAACUGCUUUUGUACGGAACGAAAAGGUUUGGCCUAAUAAGCUGAGCUCAUGACGGUACCGUAAGAAUAAGCACCGGCUAACUACGUGCCAGCAGCCGCCGUAA
rnacentral:rRNA from 1 species